AGUGUGAGUCGGUGCGAUUAGG
rnacentral:miRNA from 1 species